rnacentral:rRNA from 1 species
UACGGAAGGGGCAAGCGUUUGUUCGGAAUCAUUGGGCGUAAAGGGCGCGCAGGUGGCUCUGUAUGUCUGCCGUGAAAGCAUACAGCUCAACUGUAUUGUGUCGGUAGAAACUGCAGGACUUGAGGCUGGGAGGGGCUGGUGGAAUUCCUGGUGUAGCGGUGAAAUGCGCAGAUAUCAGGAGGAACACCGAUGGCGAAGGCAGGUCUCUGGGCCAUAACUGACGCUGAGAAGCGAAAGCAUGGGGGAGCGAACAGG